rnacentral:tRNA from 1 species
GGGGGUGUAGCUCAGCUGGGAGAGCGCCACGUUCGCAACGUGGAAGUCAGGGGUUCGAAUCCCCUCAUCUCCACCA